rnacentral:rRNA from 1 species
CCACCACCCGAGAACACUGUUCUCCCGAAACUUUAGGUAGCCACACACGAACAGAGGGGUAAGCCCGGAAGGUCAGGGCCCCCGAGGCACCAACCGGACGAACUCCGGAUACCUCGAGCCUAUUGGCAACCAACCGCCGUGCUAAGGUCCGUGUCAAAAGGAAACCGCCCUACCUACGACUAAGGUCCCCAGUCAUCACUAAGUGGAAACCAUGUGGAAUCCCAAAACAAACCAGGAGGUUGCCUUAGAACAACCCAUCCUUUAAAGAAAGCGUACCAGCUCACUGGUCUAAAUAAAGGUUCCUGCGGCCGAAGAUGUAACGGGGCUAAAGUGAUGCACCGAAGCUUAGGGGUUGCAGUUUACUGCAGCGUUAGCGGGAGCGUUCCGUAAGCGAGUGAAGCCGAAGGGUAACCGACGGUGGACGUAUCGGAAGUGCGAAUGCUGACAUGAGUAGCGACAAAGAGGGUGAGAUGCCCUCUCGCCGAAAGACCAAGGGUUCCUGCGCAACGCUAAUCGGCGCAGGGUGAGCCGGCCCCUAAGACGAGCCCGAAGGGGGUAGUCGAUGGGAACCACGUUAAUAUUCGUGGGCCUGGAGAUGUGUGACGGAUCGUGGAAGUUGUUCGACCUUAUUGGAUUGGUCGGGCAUCCAAGCGGUUCCAGGAAAUAGCCUCUCCGUAUAGACCGUACCCGAAACCGACACAGGUGGUCAGGUAGAGUAUACCAAGGCGCUUGAGAGAAGUAUCCUGAAGGAACUCGGCAAAUUGCCUCCGUACCUUCGGAAGAAGGAGGCCCCGUUAUUGCGCAAGCAGUAGCGGGGGGCACAGGCCAGGGGGUAGCGACUGUUUAGCAAAAACACAGGACUCUGCUAAGUCGGCUUCAAGACGACGUAUAGGGUCUGACGCCUGCCCGGUGCCGGAAGGUUAAGAGGAGGAGUGCAAGCUCCGAAUUGAAGCCCCGGUAAACGGCGGCCGUAACUAUAACGGUCCUAAGGUAGCGAAAUUCCUUGUCGGGUAAGUUCCGACCUGCACGAAUGGCGUAACGACUUCCCCACGUCUCCAGGAAUCCUCACGAAUGAAUCAAACCU